GACGAACGCUGGCGGCGUGCCUAAUACAUGCAAGUCGAACGCAGGGGGGACGGGUGCGUAACACGUGGGUAACCUACCAUCAGAGGGGAUAACAGUUGGAAACAGGUGCUAAACCGAUAUUGGUGGAUGGACACGCGGUGCAUUAGCUAGUUGGUGAGGUAACGGCUCACCAAUGACACGAUGCAUAGCCGGCCUGAGAGGGUGAUCGGCCACACUGGAACUGAGACACGGCCCAGACGCAUACGGGAGGCAGCAGUAGGGAAUCUUCGGCAAUGGACGAAAGUCUGACCGAGCAACGCCGCGUGAGUGAAGAAGGUUUUCGGAUCGUAAAACUCUGUUGUUAGAGAAGCGGUAUCUAACCAGAAAGCCACGGCUAACUACGUGCCAGCAGCCGCGGUAAUUC
rnacentral:rRNA from 1 species